CAGCCGCCGCGGGAAUACGAAGGGUGCAAGCGUUACUCGGAAUUACUGGGCGUAAAGCGUGCGUAGGCGGUGGUUUAAGUCCGUUGUGAAAGCCCUGGGCUCAACCUGGGAAUUGCAGUGGAUACUGGGUCACUAGAGUGUGGUAGAGGAUAGUGGAAUUUCCGGUGUAGCAGUGAAAUGCGUAGAGAUCGGAAGGAACAUCUGUGGCGAAGGCGACUAUCUGGGCCAACACUGACACUGAGGCACGAAAGCGUGGGGAGCAAACAGGAUUAGAUACCCCGGUAGUCCCUGUCUCUUAUAC
rnacentral:rRNA from 1 species